UACGAAGGGGGCUAGCGUUGCUCGGAAUUACUGGGCGUAAAGGGAGCGUAGGCGGAUAGUUAAGUUGGGGGUGAAAGCCCGGGGCUCAACCUCGGAAUUGCCUUCAAUACUGGCUAUCUAGAGUAUGGGAGAGGUGUGUGGAACUCCGAGUGUAGAGGUGAAAUUCGUAGAUAUUCGGAAGAACACCAGUGGCGAAGGCGACACACUGGCCCAUUACUGACGCUGAGUCUCGAAAGCGUGGGGAGCAAACAGGG
rnacentral:rRNA from 1 species